GAUGAAGAACGUAGCGAAAUGCGAUAAGUAAUGUGAAUUGCAGAAUUCAGUGAAUCAUCGAAUCUUUGAACGCACAUUGCGCCCGCCAGUAGUCUGGCGGGCAUGCCUGUUCGAGCGUCAUUUCAACCCUCAGGCCCCCAGUGCCUGGUGUUGGGGAUCGGCAGCAGGGCGUCAAGCCCCCCGGCCCCGAAAUCUAGUGGCGGUCUCGCUGUAGUCCUCCUCUGCGUAGUAGCACAACCUCGCAUUUGGAACGCGGCGGUGGCCAUGCCGUUAAACACCCCACUUCUGAAAGUUGACCUCGGAUCAGGUAGGAAUACCCGCUGAACUUAAGCAUAUCAAUAAGCGGAGGA
rnacentral:misc_RNA from 1 species